rnacentral:lncRNA from 1 species
UGAUCUACUGCGCAUGUGUCGGAGCCUCGGCUGUCAGAGGACUCGCAUUCAGUCAGAGAGACAACAGCAGAGGAUAUAACUACGUGCUACUUUUUUGGCCGAGUGACCUUCAACAUUUUACUGUCAUUGUAGUGAAUUAUCCAGGUGAAGUGAAGGAUGAAUCGAGGCGUGAACGCGCAGCGGACAUUAUGGCGUGUGGCUCUGGUGAGCAAGUAGCAGAGAGAGGACUGUAGCCUGCUGCUGGACUGGGAGUCUGGGAGUCUGAUGCUGGACCGGGAGUCUGAUGCUGGACUGGGAGUCUGCUGCUGGACUGGGAGUCUGGGAGUCUGAUGCUGGACCGGGAGUCUGAUGCUGGACUGGGAGUCUGCUGCUGGACUGGGAGUCUGAUGCUGGACUGGGAGUCUGCUGCUGGACUGGGAGUCUGCUGCUGGACUGGGAGUCUGCUGCUGGACUGGGAGUCUGCUGCUGGACUGGGAGUCUGCUGCUGGACUGGGAGUCUGCUGCUGGACUGGGAGUCUGCUGCUGGACUGGGAGUCUGCUGCUGGACUGGGAGUCUGCUGCUGGACUGGGAGUCUGCUGCUGGACUGGGAGUCUGCUGCUGGACUGUUUUUUUAACGCCCAUCCCUGAUGCUGCUCUGGCUCGUGGGUCUACUGUCUGCUAGCAUAAGUCCGUCCAUCAGUGACAGGCUGAUUAACGGUAAACGAAACUAAGAGUACUGCUGCUGUCAGCUGGGUUAUGAGGUAAAUACAGGGUAAAAGGUGGGAGGGAUUAUUUUUCAUCCUUCAGCCUCUCUUCACUCGAAGCCCACAGCCUGGACCAUCACACAGCCUGGACCAUCACACAGAAACACUGAAGCUGAUCAGAGAGUGAAGCUGCAGCUCAGAGCUCCUCAACAUCCAGCUGUGGUACAGUCAGACUGUAGAUUGAUGUUGUUGUAGCUGUACUGACUGAACCUGAUGACUCUUCACCUGUGUCCUCUCACAGAGAGAAGAUGAUGCUGCUGCUCCUCAUCCUCACCUCCUCAGCAGCAGCAUUUGAAGUGAAGGUGACACAGAGCUCCUGUCAGGCAGAGGAGAACCACAACAUCACACUGGAGUGGACGUUCACCACAGACACCGAGACUAAGACUGAGGAGAUUUUUGUCUUCUGUUUUCAUUUAACCCAAAGAAAAGCCUCACUUCUGUAUCGGGCCCAUGACGGUGUUGAGAUCUCAGAGUCUGUGGAUGAAGGUUUUUCAGGAAGAGUCCAGAGUGACACAGACGCCCUCAGAGAAGGACGAAUCAGACUUCAUCUGUCCAGACUCAGGACUGAGGACUCUGGUCUGUAUGUGUGUGAAGUGACGAUAGCUUCAGUUACCCACUCGGCCCUCUGUAACCUGACAGUCUCUGCAGCUGCUGCUCAGACACACACUGACAGACCAGCUCUGAGUCCACCAGCAGACACAAGAGGAUGGACAGGACUCAUCAUUGGACUCAUCAUUGGACUGUCAGAAUUCAAAUCCUGAGCCUGGAGCAGACCCAUCAGCUGCUGGAGCUCCGUCUGAACCAAGUCUGACCUCUGACCCCCUCACCAUGGUCCUCCUGCAGCAGGUGCAGCCAGCUGUUGUUUGAUGAUGAUGCUGUGGACAACCUGGUGACUGGUGCAUCCUCAUGCUGACACACACAGGUCUGUAUAGCAGGGAGGCGUCCCACACAUAGAACUGGCCUGUUACUUCUUCAGGUUCUAACAUGUUUGGAAGGUGCGGGCUGCCCGGCCAGGGAGCACCCUUCCCGGGCAGCUGGGAGCGGUCGGUGUCCCUCUCUGGGGAAAUGUGCUGGAGCACUGGGGAGCUCCAAGAGCCAGGGGAGUGGGUGCCCAACCAGGACAAAUGACACAGACUGCGGUCUCAGACUGAAAGUUUGAUCAAACUUCAUGAAACAGGCCCUACAAACAAUAAUAAAAAUCUCCAAAAAGUAUAACGAUGUGACA